UACGGAGGGGGGCUAGCGUUGUUCGGAAUUACUGGCGUAAAGCGCACGUAGGCGGAUUGGAAAGUUGGGGGUGAAAUCCCGGGGGCUCAACCCCGGAACUGCCUUCAAAACCUCCCAGUCUGGAGGUCGAGAGAGGUGAGUGGAAUUCCCGGUGUAGUGGUGAAAUGCGUAGAUAUCGGGGAGGAACACCAGUGGCGAAGGCGACUUCCUGGCCUGUUCUUGACGCUGAGGCGCGAAAGCCUAGGGGAGCAAACGGGA
rnacentral:rRNA from 1 species